AUGUGAAGCGGGAAGAGCUCAAAUUUGAAAUCUAAUGGCCUCAGGUCAUUCGAGUUGUAAUCUAUAGGAACGUUUUCCGUGCCGGCUCAUGUACAAGUCCCUUGGAACAGGGCGUCAUAGAGGGUGAGAAUCCCGUACUUGACAUGAACUACCGGUGCUCUGUGAUACGUCUCCAACGAGUCGAGUUGUUUGGGAAUGCAGCUCAAAAUGGGUGGUAAAUUCCAUCUUAAAGCUAAAUAUUGGUGUGAGACCGAUAGCGAACAAGUACCGUGAGGGAAAGAUGAAAAGCACUUUGGAAAGAGAGUUAAAAAGUAUGUGAAAUUGUUGAAAGGGAAACGAUUGAAGUCAGUCAUGUCCUUCAGAUUCAGCUGGUUCUGCCGGUGUAUUUCUGUUGGAUGGGGUCAACAUCAGUUUUGGAUGCCGGAUAAAGGCAGGAGGAAGGUAGUACUCUCGGGUAAACUUAUAGCCUCCUGUUGCAUACGGUGACUGGGACUGAGGAACGCAGCUUGCCUUUAUGGCCGGGGUUACGCCCACGUACAAGCUUAGGAUGUUGACAUAAUGGCUUUAAACGACCCGUCUUGAAACGGG
rnacentral:rRNA from 1 species